GAUGAGCGCUAGCGGCAGGCUUAAUACAUGCAAGUCGAGGGGUAGCAAGAUUGUAGCAAUACAAUUGUUGACGACCGGCAAACGGGUGCGGAACACGUACACAACCUUCCUACAAGUGGGGAAUAGCCCAGAGAAAUUUGGAUUAAUACCCCGUAACAUAGCGAUGUGGCAUCACAUUGCAAUUAUAGCUCCGGCUCUUGUUGAUGGGUGUGCGGCUGAUUAGAUAGUUGGCGGGGUAACGGCCCACCAAGUCUACGAUCAGUAGCUGAUGUGAGAGCAUGAUCAGCCACACGGGCACUGAGACACGGGCCCGACUCCUAUGGGAGGCAGCAGUAAGGAAUAUUGGACAAUGGACGCAAGUCUGAUCCAGCCAUGCCGCGUGAAGGAUUAAGGUCCUCUGGAUUGUAAACUUCUUUUAUAAGGGACGAAAAAAGGUCUUUCUAGAUCGUCUGACGGUACCUUAUGAAUAAGCACCGGCUAACUCCGUGCCAGCCGCCGCGGUAAAAC
rnacentral:rRNA from 1 species